rnacentral:rRNA from 1 species
AUUGAACGCUGGCGGAAUGCUUUACACAUGCAAGUCGAACGGCAGCACGGACUUCGGUCUGGUGGCGAGUGGCGAACGGGUGGGUAAUGUAUCGGAACGUGCCCAGUCGUGGGGGAUAACGUAGUGAAAAUUACGCUAAUACCGCAUACGAUCUAUGGAUGAAAGCGGGGGAUCGCAAGACCUAGCGCGAUUGGAGCGGCCGAUAUCAGAUUAGGUAGUUGGUGGGGUAAAGGCACACCAAGCCAACGAUCAGUAGCUGGGCUGAGAGGACGACCCGCCACACUGUAACUGAGACACGGUCCAGGCUCCUACGGGAGGCAGCAAUGGGGAAUUUUGGACAAUGGGCGAAAGCCUGAUCCAGCCAUUCCGCGUGCAGGAUGAAGGCCCUCGGGUUGUAAACUGCUUUUGUACAGAACGAAAAGGUUUCUACUAAUACUAGGAGCUCAUGACGGUACUGUAAGAAUAAGCACCGGCUAACUACGUGCCAGCCGCCGCUGUAA